rnacentral:sRNA from 1 species
AAAUCAGCGGCGUCCUCUCUCCUCCUCCCUGAGGGCGCCGCACUCAGAUACGACAGACCUCUCUCCUCCUCCCUGAGGUCUUUCGUUGUCAAGAGCGGCACCUCCUCUCCUCCUCCCUGGAGGUGCCGCACCUG